rnacentral:rRNA from 1 species
UACGGGGGGGGCAAGCGUUGUUCGGAAUUACUGGGCGUAAAGGGCUCGUAGGCGGCCAACUAAGUCCGACGUGAAAUCCCCAGGCUUAACUUGGGAACUGCGUCGGAUACUGGAUGGCUUGAAUUCGGGAGAGGGAUGCAGAAUUCCAGGUGUAGCGGUGAAAUGCGUAGAUAUCUGGAGGAAUACCGGGGGCGAAGGCGGCAUCCUGGACCGACAUUGACGCUGAGUGAGCGAAAGCUAGGGGAGCAAACGGG